GAAGUUGGAGUUGCUGGUAAUCGCGGAUCAGCAUGCCGCGGUGAAUACGUUCCCGGGCCUUGUACACACCGCCCGUCACACCAUGGGAGUUGGGAGCGCCCGAAGCCGGUGAGGUAACCGAGAGGAGCCAGCCGUCGAAGGUGAGACCAAUGACUGGGGUGAAGUCGUAACAAGGUAUC
rnacentral:rRNA from 1 species